rnacentral:rRNA from 1 species
UACAGAGGGUGCAAGCGUUGUUCGGAAUUAUUGGGCGUAAAGGGCGUGUAGGCGGUUUGCUAAGUCAUGUGUGAAAUCCCCCGGCUUAACCGAGGAACGACGCAUGAUACUGGCAAGCUAGAGUACCAAAGAGGGGGGUGGAAUUCCCGGUGUAGCGGUGAAAUGCGUAGAUAUCUGGAGGAACACCGGUGGCGAAGGCGGCAUCCUGGACCGGUAUUGACGCUGAGGCGCGAAAGCCAGGGGAGCAAACGGG